CAUCACUACGCUAGAUGCAUAUCAAUAAGCGGAGGAAAAGAAACUAACAAGGAUUCCCCUAGUAACGGCGAGUGAAGCGGGAAGAGCUCAAAUUUGAAAUCUUAAAGGGUUUCCCUUUACGAAUUGUAGUUUAAAGAAGUGUUUUCUGUUGGAGUUUCGGUAAAAGUUCUUUGGAAUAGGACAUCAUAGAGGGUGAGAAUCCCGUAUUUGACCGUUACUUUCCAGCUGUGUGAUACACUUUCAAAGAGUCGGAUUGUUUGGGAAUGCAGUCCAAAAUGGGUGGUAAAUUCCAUCUAAAGCUAAAUAUUGGCGAGAGACCGAUUGCGAACAAGUACCGUGAGGGAAAGAUGAAAAGAACUUUGAAAAGAGAGUUAAACAGUACGUGAAAUUGUCAAAAGGGAAGCGUUUGACACCAGUGUUGUUUAGUUGAAAAUCAAUUCAAUAAUUUUCGAUUUUAAGUAGUAUUGACCUUAUCAGCUUGCUGCUUUUUUCUCGGAAAUUAUUGAAUGCACUUUUCAGUUAACAAGUCAACAUCAAUUUCUUUUGUUGUAAAAAGGGUAGGAGGAAGGUGGCUUACGCUUCGGCGUCAAGUGUUUAUAGCCUUUUACCUCUGCAAUCGGAGAGAUUGAGGUACAUGCAGCGUAGACUCCUUCGGGGUUAGAUACACUUUGUGCUAAGUUAUAGCUUGUCAUAGACAACUUGUUGACUAUGCUAAGUCAUUGUAGCUUACUCGCUUGUGCUAUUUUACCUACGCUUAGGAUGUUGACACACGCGCGUGCUCGACUCUAUACAUGACUCUGUGCAUAUCAAUAAGCGGAGGAAAAGAGGGCUAUUACCUACGCUUAGGAUGUUGACACACGCGCGUGCUC
rnacentral:rRNA from 1 species